rnacentral:rRNA from 1 species
UAGGGAAUCUUCGGCAAUGGACGAAAGUCUGACCGAGCAACGCCGCGUGAGUGAAGAAGGUUUUCGGAUCGUAAAACUCUGUUGCUAGAGAAGAACAAGGACGUUAGUAACUGAACGUCCCAUGACGGUAUCUAACCAGAAAGCCACGGCUAACUACGUGCCAGCAGCCGCGGUAAUACGUAGGUGGCAAGCGUUGACCGGAUUUAUUGGGCGUAAAGCGAGCGCAGGCGGUUUCUUAAGUCUGAUGUGAAAGCCCCCGGCUCAACCGGGGAGGGUCAUUGGAAACUGGAAGACUUGAGUGCAGAAGAGGGGAGUGGAAUUCCAUGUGUAGCGGUGAAAUGCGUAGAUAUAUGGAGGAACACCAAUGGCGAAGGCGGCUCUCUGGUCUAAUACUGACGCUGAGGCUCGAAAGCGUGGGGAGCAAACAGG